rnacentral:rRNA from 1 species
GACGAACGCUGGCGGCGUGCUUAACACAUGCAAGUCGAACGGAAAGGCCCUGCUUUUGUGGGGUGCUCGAGUGGCGAACGGGUGAGUAACACGUGAGUAACCUGCCCUUGACUUUGGGAUAACUUCAGGAAACUGGGGCUAAUACCGGAUAGGAGCUCCUGCUGCAUGGUGGGGGUUGGAAAGUUUCGGCGGUUGGGGAUGGACUCGCGGCUUAUCAGCUUGUUGGUGGGGUAGUGGCUUACCAAGGCUUUGACGGGUAGCCGGCCUGAGAGGGUGACCGGCCACAUUGGGACUGAGAUACGGCCCAGACUCCUACGGGAGGCAGCAGUGGGGAAUAUUGCAAAAUGGGCGGAAGCCUGAUGCAGCAACGCCGCGUGCGGGAUGACGGCCUUCGGGGUGUAAACCGCUUUCGCCUGUGACGAAGCGUGAGUGACGGUAAUGGGUAAAGAAGCACCGGCUAACUACGUG